ACCAUAUUAUUGGAUAGGAGAUCUAUUGAGAGACCCCUCAAAGACCAGAGUACGGGACAGGGUCAUCUGGAAUGAAUUCACAGAUUCAAGCACUCUUUGAGUCAAGGUUGGAAAAGCAUGUGGAAAACAGCUUCUGCCAUUUUGCUCCAUAAUCCUCAUUAUUCCUUUAUAAAAAUUCCUUGGGAAAAUGAUAAUCUCAUCACAGCUUUCAAACUGCAUCGCUAGGCUUUCUCUUCUCCACUCACAAUGAUGCCUGGCUGAGAAUAUCAUAGCAGUUGCAACACGGCAUUUUGAAGAACACGCAGCUGGGAGAAAGUGAAUAGAUAAGUCUAUUUAUAAAGUGUGACUAAUCA